rnacentral:rRNA from 1 species
UACGUAGGGUGCAAGCGUUUGUCCGGAAUUAUUGGGCGUAAAGAGCUCGUAGGCGGUCUGUCGCGUCGGCUGUGAAAACCCGGGGCUCAACCCCGGGCCUGCAGUCGAUACGGGCAGACUAGAGUGCGGUAGGGGAGACUGGAAUUCCUGGUGUAGCGGUGAAAUGCGCAGAUAUCAGGAGGAACACCGGUGGCGAAGGCGGCAUCCUGGACCAACACUGACGCUGAGGAGCGAAAGCCAGGGGAGCAAACGGG